ACGCUUGGAGCUAAAAAGUUAUGUUUACAUCUCUCUCUCUCCCUUUGAUUUUUUACAAGCUUUUUGUUUGUCGCUCUUAAACCUGAAAGUCUAUCAUAAUGUACACUGCUUUGUGACGUGCUGUUAAUAAGCAUGCGGGUUAAAUUCCCGUUGUGCAGUGACCAAGGUCAGAUGAAGGAGAAAAAACGAGGCACAGACGACAAAGACGAAGAUCUCGUGUCGUCCCGGCGCGUGAAACAGCUUCGGAUACAAGUCGCUCACGGAGGUGAUGACGCUCUCGACCGUCACAAACUGAGAGGAGGAAUGAAAUGAGCUGAGACUGUGUUUGCUGCAUCUACCUCUUAUGUGGUUGGUCAAUCAUCGGUCUUACAUGUGUGUCGACCGUCAAAAGAAUGAGCAUCAGGAAGAAACAGAUGGUCCAGAGCUGUGGCAGAGGCAUCAUUGCUGUUGCUUGAGGGUGCUGCCAAAAGGUUAGGUCACUUGUACCUGACUCGGUCACAUUUCUGACGCUCACACCCUGUUUCUGAGCCAUGAAUCCAAGAACGGAGAAGACGACGAAUCCGGCGACAAAACUGGUGGCGCUGUUCAGCAGACACAGCCAAAAGCAGUCCCUAAAGGUGUUGUCACAGUUGGCCCAUGGCAGUUCAGACUGGAAAGAGAACACCAGGUAGAAGAUAGCCCACACCUGGACUAAUAUGUAGCUGAAGUCAUAAACUUUCAUCAUGAAAUAUCCAUAUCCGAUCCCUGGAAUGUAAAAUUGAAGGUAAAUCACAUCAAUGGCGACGGGUUUCCAUCAGCCUAUUUUUAUUAUUUGUAUUUGCAUGUUCAAUGUGUGCAUUAAAAAACACAGAAACACAGAAAAGCUUUCACACAUUUAGAGGUGGAACAGUUGGCAAAUUGGUAUAAAGGAACUCUUUUUACCCCACUGCCAUCAGAAUCCUUAACAGCUGAACAGGACUACAAUAAUCUUGUCACCUGGUUACACUGUCACUUAAUCUGUUACCGUCACUUUAAACCUGACACAUGUCACUUUAAAUCUGUUAAAUCUGUUUGCACAGCAUCGAAUUGCACAACCAGUUUACACUUAUU